rnacentral:rRNA from 1 species
AUUGAACGCUGGCGGCAUGCCUUACACAUGCAAGUCGAACGGUAACAGGUCUUCGGAUGCUGACGAGUGGCGAACGGGUGAGUAAUACAUCGGAACGUGCCUAGUAGUGGGGGAUAACUACUCGAAAGAGUGGCUAAUACCGCAUGAGAUCUACGGAUGAAAGCAGGGGAUCGCAAGACCUUGUGCUACUAGAGCGGCCGAUGGCAGAUUAGGUAGUUGGUGGGAUAAAAGCUUACCAAGCGGACGAUCUGUAGCUGGUCUGAGAGGACGAUCAGCCACCAUGGGAGUGGGACAGGGCCCAGACUCCUAACGGAGGUAGAGGUGGGGAAGUUUGUCCAAUGGUCGCAAGCCUGAUCCAGCAAUGCCGCGUGCAGGAGGAAGGCCUUCGGGUCGUAAACUGCUUUUGUACGGACCGAAAAGCCCUGGGUUAAUACCCUGGGGUCAUGACGGUACCGUAAGAAUAAGCACCGGCUAACUACGUGCCAGCAGCCGCGGUAA